rnacentral:rRNA from 1 species
GGUUAAGCGACUAAGCGUACACGGUGGAUGCCCUGGCAGUCAGAGGCGAUGAAGGGCGUGCUAAUCUGCGAUAAGCGCCGGUAAGGUGAUAUGAACCGUUAUAACCGGCGAUACCCGAAUGGGGAAACCCAGUGUGAUUCGUCACACUAUCAUUAACUGAAUCCAUAGGUUAAUGAGGCGAACCGGGGGAACUGAAACAUCUAAGUACCCCGAGGAAAAGAAAUCAACCGAGAUUCCCCCAGUAGCGGCGAGCGAACGGGGAGGAGCCCAGAGCCUGAAUCAGCAUGUGUGUUAGUGGAAGCGUCUGGAAAGGCGCGCGAUACAGGGUGACAGCCCCGUACACAAAAGCGCAUGUGCUGUGAGCUCGAUGAGUAGGGCGGGACACGUGGUAUCCUGUCUGAAUAUGGGGGGACCAUCCUCCAAGGCUAAAUACUCCUGACUGACCGAUAGUGAACCAGUACCGUGAGGGAAAGGCGAAAAGAACCCCGGCGAGGGGAGUGAAAAAGAACCUGAAACCGUGUACGUACAAGCAGUGGGAGCCCCACCACUAAGCCAGUGGUGAACUCCACAUACGCAUCCUUUGCUGAAGGCAAUGGUUAACGGAGCGAAAGCGACGUUCAACCGCAAAACAAGCAGAGGGGGCUUAGUGGUGGGGUGACUGCGUACCUUUUGUAUAAUGGGUCAGCGACUUAUAUUCUGUAGCAAGGUUAACCGUAUAGGGGAGCCGGAGGGAAACCGAGUCUUAAUUGGGCGUUAAGUUGCAGGGUAUAGACCCGAAACCCGGUGAUCUAGCCAUGGGCAGGUUGAAGGUUGGGUAACACUAACUGGAGGACCGAACCGACUAAUGUUGAAAAAUUAGCGGAUGACCUGUGGCUGGGGGUGAAAGGCCAAUCAAACC